UGCCGCGUGCAGGAUGACGGUCCUAUGGAUUGUAAACUGCUUUUAUACGAGAAAAAACACUCCUUCGUGAAGGAGCUUGACGGUAUCGUAAGAAUAAGGAUCGGCUAACUCCGUGCCAGCAGCCGCGGUAAUACGGAGGAUCCAAGCGUUAUCCGGAAUCAUUGGGUUUAAAGGGUCCGUAGGCGGUUUAAUAAGUCAGUGGUGAAAGCCCAUCGCUCAACGGUGGAACGGCCAUUGAUACUGUUAAACUUGAAUUAUUAGGAAGUAACUAGAAUAUGUAGUGUAGCGGUGAAAUGCUUAGAGAUUACAUGGAAUACCAAUUGCGAAGGCAGGUUACUACUAAUGGAUUGACGCUGAUGGACGAAAGCGUGGGUAGCGAACAGGAUUAGAUACCCUGGUAGUCCACGCCGUACACGAUGGAUACUAGCUGUUGGAAGCAAUUUCAGUGGCUAAACGAAAGUGAUUAGUAUCCCACCUGGGGAGUACGUUCGCAAGAAUGAAACUCAAAGGAAUUGACGGGGGCCCGCACAAGCGGUGGAGCAUGUGGUUUAAUUCCAUGAUACACAAGGAACCUUACCAAGGCUUAAAUGUAGUUUGACCGAUAUGGAAACACAUCU
rnacentral:rRNA from 1 species